rnacentral:misc_RNA from 1 species
AUUUUUUUAUAAUUACUAGUCUGUGAUUACACUCAAUUUUACAUUUUAACUCUUUGUGAAUGACUUAUUGUAGAUCUAGGUAACCUAUUUCAUCUUGCAGAUUUACCAAAUUUGUUUGUGCCUUUGACUAAACGUUGCUCAAAGAUUGGAAUCUUUUCUCUACAAGAAAAUGUUACAGGUUUCCUUCAUUACACAUUAAGGAAGUUCUUCAUGUGAUCAAUCAUAGCGUUCUCUUACUAUGCAAAUUGUCGUUCGUUUGCAAGAAAAUAGAGGAUAUUUUUUUUCUGCGUUGUUUCCAGACGAUGAAGUACUGUGGUUGUCGUCUGUUCUUCGUUCGUUCUGAAGGAUCAAUAAUUCAUUAAUUCUUUGUGUAAUUCUUGAGUGUUUACAACACAAUCAAAAUGUGCAGUGAUUAAAUUAUUGAGUAGAAAUGCCACUGCGCCGAGAGGAAAUCCUGAAUCUGAACUCAUAAUCCCGUUAUACCUUGCAUUUAAAAUGAUUAAUUUCUUUUGUGUAGUAAACUGAAAGUUUUUGUUCCAGUGAUAAAGAUAUAUUUAAAUGUUUAAAGAAAACCGAGUGCAAGAUCU